UGGGGAAUUUUGGGCAAUGGGGGAAACCCUGACCCAGCAACGCCGCGUGAAGGAUGAAGUAUUUCGGUAUGUAAACUUCGAAAGAAUAGGAAGAAUAAAUGACGGUACUAUUUAUAAGGUCCGGCUAACUACGUGCCAGCAGCCGCGGUAAUACGUAGGGACCAAGCGUUGUUCGGAUUUACUGGGCGUAAAGGGCGCGUAGGCGGCAUGACAAGUCACUUGUGAAAUCUCUGGGCUUAACCCAGAACGGCCAAGUGAUACUGUCGCGCUAGAGUGCAGAAGGGGCAAUCGGAAUUCUUGGUGUAGCGGUGAAAUGCGUAGAUAUCAAGAGGAACACCUGAGGUGAAGACGGGUUGCUGGGCUGACACUGACGCUGAGGCGCGAAAGCCAGGGGAGCAAACGGGAUUAGAUACCCUCGUAGUCCCUGAGCGGGCUGGCAAGGCGCAU
rnacentral:rRNA from 1 species